rnacentral:rRNA from 1 species
UACGUAGGGGGCAAGCGUUGUCCGGAUUUAUUGGGCGUAAAGAGCGUGUAGGCGGUCAGGUAGGUCAGCUGUGAAAACUCGAGGCUCAACCUCGAGACGCCGGUUGAAACCAUCUGACUAGAGUCCGGAAGAGGAGAGUGGAAUUCCCGGUGUAGCGGUGAAAUGCGUAGAUAUCAGGAGGAACACCUGCGGUGUAGACGGCUUUCUGGACCAUUGUUGACGCUGAGACACGAAAGCGUGGGUAGCAAACAGG